ncrna:unclassified sequences eL15-Euryarchaeota ribosomal protein leader
CCCGCACGGCACGCGCCACGGGUCGGGAUGUGAUCCGGAGGCCGGAUUGAACCAGGAA